UGGCGGACGGGUGAGUAACGCGUGGGAACCAACCUUGGAGCGGGGAAUAACUAUUGGAAACGAUAGCUAAUACCGCAUACGCCCUCAGGGGAAAGGCUUCGGCCACUCUAAGACGGUCCCGCGUCUGAUUAGCUAGUUGGUGAGGUAAUGGCUCACCAAGGCGACGAUCAGUAGCUGGUCUGAGAGGAUGACCAGCCACACUGGGACUGAGACACGGCCCAGACUCC
rnacentral:rRNA from 1 species